UGUACAAUAUCAUAAUAAUUUAAUAGUAAUGAAAGUACACACCAUCAUAAUAUAAAUAUAUUUGAAAAGUUUACAUGAUUGUAUGUGUUACAUGUUUGAAUAUCAAAUACUGUAUGGUGAUCCAAAAUAUGUUACUAACGCCAGCGCGUUAGUCUUCAAAAGUAGUUGCUACCUGGUUUAGCGUUUUCUUGAGAAUACAAGUUAUUUCAAAGAAAAAGUGUCAACAAUAAAGUUGGUGAGUUCAUAAGUAGUGUUUGGAGAAAAUGUAUGUCGUUCGAAAGUUCGUGUAUGUUUUCCAAAAAGUCCGAUAUUUUCUUAUGAGUGUAUGAAAUGAGUAUGAAUGAUUGUUGUAUAAGGUGUAUGUAUUUGAACCAGGAAAAUCCUAUAUUUUCCUAAAAGUGAAAUGCAGUCUCAAAUGACCAAGACCGUAACAUGUAAGCAACUAUGACAUGCUAAAAAGAAUGACGUUGUAAAUCGUUAUUGUACAAAAUGAAUGUAUUUGAACCAGAAAAAUCCUUUAUUUUUCUAAAAGUGAAAUGCAGUCUCAAAUGUCCAAGACCAUAACCUGUAAGCAACUAUCACAUGCUCAAAAGAAUGAUGUAUAGUCUUAUUAUAAAGCAAGACUAUAAGAAGAUUUGUAUUUGAAUAUGAAAAGAACUGUAUCUAUUACUUUUCCCAUGAAAACGUAAUACCAUAAUAAUUGUCUAUUCAGUGAGUUUUUAUAACCGUACUGUCAUAAUUUGCCUGUAGCGACGUUCUUCAAGCGUCGAAAUGAUAUGACACUUGUCACCCUAGGGACUGUAGCUAACAGUCAGGGCGUGGGAUCAUUAGUCCCGCAUAGAUCUAUACACACUUGUCACGUUCUCCAGACAGGAGAUUCUGGUUAUAAAACAGGACUUCUAGCGGUACCUUAAUAGGUAUAAUGAAGAUGGAUGUCUCACACAUUCUCAAUUAAGUCCCGUUUAAAAUGAAUAAUGUUGUUUCUGAAAUGAUUAUCCUUUUUCACAAUGUUAACAAAGGCAUAAUAAAAGGUGGAUGUUCUUGUUUGUAUAAAAAUGGUAUACUGAAAAUGGUUACCCUUGAUAUGAUGCAAACGUAUAAAUAAUCUUAUAGGAUUUAUAAUCAUGUUUCAUUCCGAGAGGGUAAAGUAAAGUAAGAUGUUUUGCAUGUCAACAGAUCCAUUUAUAUGUAUUAAAAACAAUAUGAAAGGUAUAACGAAAGAUAGAUGUUUCCAUACAAGAUUAACCGUGUGUUUACUUGUAUUCUCCCCCGUAAUGUGUUAAAAUUUUUUUAGAAAGUAUUUAAAAGCGUAGAAAUGGGGGUAUGAACUCACUUGGUAGUUAGAAGAAUGUGAGACAAAAGUCGAGCAAAACUUCGACUGGAGAAAGCUGAUUUUCUCGGGAUUCUCGGGAAUCUCAGGAAUCUCGAGAGUGUAACACUUCCUUCCGAACUUGGAUAUGAAAAUCGGGACUUCGGGAUGGCUCAGAGGGUUUAAACGCAGAGCUUUGGCACGACAAAGAGGAGAAAUGAGCAAAUAUGCCUAGAACCCUCGCACCCUUUAUAUAGGGGCUCAAAACCCCUCGAACGCUAGGCGUACGAGGUUACGCAGGGUUUUCUCGUGCGUCAUUGCUUACCGCAUCCUUGGAUGAAGCGUUGGAUGGGACUCGGAGCGACGUGGACGAAUCGAGGCCUAGCAUCUGAGUACGCUGGGCGUAAAUCAUCUUGGUUUGUGUGCCUGAACUUUUAAAAUACGUAACUUUUGCAUACGACCUCCGUUUUUGACGUUCUUUAUAUGCACACGUAGGUGAGAAUAUAAUCUACAACUCUCAUUUAGACUCCGUCAGCUAGUUUUGAAUUUUUUUUUUAAUUAUAUAUUUUUAACAAGCCGGGACACGAAAAGUCUGUUAAAAUCCAUAACUUCUUCAUUCGACGUCCGUUUUCGUCUGUCUUUUUACCAUUGUAUCACUAUUGUCGAGAUAUUCGGUUCUCGUUUAGCUUGCAUCGGCUAAAAGUUUCUAGAUCUCUAUUUCUAGUUUUUAGCUGUCUACUGCUAUAUCCAAAACUUCGAAAAAUCAUAACUUCCUCAUACGAAGUCAGAUUUGGACGUUCUUUUUAUGUUUGUUUACGGUUUAGUGAUAUCUACAACUUUAAUUUAGAUACCUAAGGUUAAAAAGUAUUUUAUUAAAACCUCCCGUUUUUAGGCUUAAUAGUGUUUUACCGAUUUUGUUGCGGAUCUUCGAUUGGUCAUAACUUCUUCGUUAUAACUCGGAUUUUAGUGUUCCUUAUAUUUCUGGAAACUUUGUUAUGAUAUCUACCACUUAGUACAUCCCAAUUGUGGUUACUGAACAAAUUUAUUUUUGACCUAUUUUUCGCUGGGGUCACAUUAUCCCACCGUUAGAGAGAAUUUCGUCCCGAAAUUCGCAUUUUGACUGGGACUUCAAUUGUUGAGGAAAGAUGUGUGUACUUCUAUUCCAUUUGAAUUUUCAUGUUCACUAGUGAGCGCAGAUCCUAGCGUGGGUGUUCCUGCGGACCUUCAUUACUCCGUCUAUUGCUUUGACCGGUAGAGGUCAUGUGGAUUUGGGUUUGUUUGACUAUGUUCAUAUAAAUGCUAGCAUUGUUCACUCAUAAUACAGGUCGUUUCGUUUUAAAGUUCAUGGUUGAAUUCUUACCUGGUCCGCUUAUCACCACCUUGUGUAUACAAGUUGCAUACACAUUUGCAGUGAUAGGUUAACCGUAAUCAUUCCGAGCCUCUGCGUUCGAACUUGACUCGUCGUACGUGUGCUAUUCCUAAAUAGUCUGUCGGUAAUACUUCGGGAAGGUUGCAAAGGAUAUGGUACUUCUCACAUGAGUGCUACAAGAUUUUGAAACUAGAAAUGGUUUGGGAGUUGUGUCGGAUUUGUCAUUAUAAGUCGAUAGAGUUUCCUUAGCCAAUGGUGAAAGCGAAGGGUUUUUUCAUAGCACAUGCAAUUGGUAUGGUGAAGACCAAGCCAAUCCAUUUGUAGCAGCUAUUUGGGAACUUCUUAUCGUAACAAUUGUGAAGUCGAUCAGGAAAAGUGUUAUUACUACUACGAAGGUUUUGCUUAAUGAUUUGGGGUGCUUGUUUGAAAAGAUUUUUAAAUUUAUGACUCACGAAACUCCUCUCCGCUCCACUAUAAAUUAAAAUGCAUGCUAAUGUGAUUUCGAGGAAACACGUACCCAUAACAACAUUGGGGUCUGCAACGGAUUCCUCUUGAUCCAUUGCAAAUACUUGGCCACCUCCCCCAGUACUCCUGUUGUUUGCCUUCAGGCAGUCCCUUCGGAAGUGCCCCGUUUCUCCACUCUCAUAACAAGUACGGUCUACUACGACAUUUGUGGCUGGAGCGGUCGGUUGGGUUGGUUCCCUGCAGUAGCGGACGGUGUGUCCCUUACUGUUGCACCUAAUGCAAUGCAUUUCACGGUAGGGCCCGUGAUGAUGAAACUUGCAUCGGUUGCACUUAGGCUGGUUGUCAUUGUACGGCCUUGUGGGUGUGAGGGUGGUAGGAACAGUAACAACAUGAGCUGUCACUAUCCGUUGUCUUUUGGUAGACCAUUGUUUUGAACGGCUGCCUUUUUCAUUCCCGAACUUUCAUUUCGUGUUACUAGGUUUGUGGUUUGGAGUAUCCUUGUGGGUAGACAUUCGUUGAUAUCCUUGGUUGUCACAAACAUUUGAAUUUUGGACAUCCUUCCCAGUUUUACUAAUGUUUCUUGCGUUAAGAUGUGCCAUGAUGACUGUCACGACGGCUGUGACCGAAGCUUGAAAAGUAGUUGAGUCUAUAUGCAGGAGUGGUGUUUCGUUGGUUGGUCGGUUACUUCCAUGUGAAGACAUGAUUAUGUUACAUGAUGUGAAACGAGUUGGUUAGAUAACUAUGAUUGUUUUUAGUUGGAUUCUAUAAGUAUAAUUUCCUCAUUUUGUUAUUCGGUUUCAAAUGCUUCGACUCACAUUCAUUAUGAUGUAUUUGUGAUUGAGGGUUGAAAUAGGUAUCGUUUUUAAGUUUAGUUUUAGCAAUUUAGGGUAGGGACGUUAAAAUCUUAAGUCGAUCUAGUUUCAUGGGUUUUGGGAGAGGGUAUCUUUCUUACUAUUCCGAGUUAUGACGAAGGAUGUGAUGUACCUAUCCCAUAGCGUGAGUAAUAUAAUUACCAACUCAUUAGGUAAUAGUAAUUAUUACUUAUUAGUCCGACGUAUCAGGUUCUCUACCACCUCACAUGCUUCACGAGUGGUUUCCUCUAUUCUCUGUCCUAUCCCCAGUGGUACUGAUUUGUUAUAGCCUGCUAUCUAUAUUUACGACAUCCUUGCUUUUCCUCGGGCAUGUAUAAUCUCCGUCAUUGUUUGGAUUGCCUUUAGUUGAAGUUGAAAAGGUUUGUUCUUAUAUGGUAACUGUCUCUUUCUCUAAAGGGUGUAGGUGUUAGAAAAGUUGGAUUUAUCGAAGGAUUGAGUCUGUUUGAAUAGCGAGAAGGGAUUUCCAGCUAUAGGGUUAUAGAUGAAAUGGUGGAAAGACUUCGCCAGUGUUGUUGAGUUCAAUAUCAUUGAACUACAAUAGAUUAGAUCGACAGGGACGGUGUAGUGAGUUGCUAUAACAGUUUAUGACAUGAACUUUUUACAUAGCCCAAAUCAUGGAUUGAUAAUGAUGAUCUUUAAAAGAAACAAGAAGUCUGUCAUAAUAGUUUGUAUAGAAGUUACAUAGAAUUCGGAAAACUUGACCUUGGCGUAGGUCUACAACAUACCACACAGGGAAGAUUUGACAGCAUAGAGGUCUAGUGAAACAGAAAUUGCUAGACGGGGAGGUUUACAUGAAAAGAGUACCACUUGGAGUGCGUACAAGGGUUAUUCCACAAUCCAAAAGAAAGGGCGAGUAAAGUGUCCUCUACUUGCAAGGGGAAUUGUUGUGAUUAGUACUUGAUUCAACCUUGGCUUCAGCCAGCUACUGUUCCGCUUCCCAUACGCGUCUUUGCAGUGCCACCUGGUUCUGAUGAAGAUCCUUGGUUUCAGAUCGACAUACAUUCAACUCCACCUGUAAGGCGUCAGUACGAUACAUUUCAAAGUCCUGGUCCUUGGUCAGAUGAUGAAGACGAACUGUGUUGACUCUAGAGUUAGCACAGAUCUCCCUGACUUCAGUUUGAGUUGCAAUUAGCUCUCUCUGCAAAGCUUCAUUUUGAUUUACGAUUCUUCCAUAAGCUAAUCCUAACUGUCGGAUAUGAACUGUAUUUACUCUGGUGUUCGCAUCAUUCUCCUCGGUUCGUUGGAUAGUUACCCUUCCUUUCUCAUCAUUGCGAGCAAUGAGGAGAACCAAUAUAGGAAGGACUCUGUCUGUUGAGCCUCCCUUGCUCAGAUUGUAGAAGCUCCGGUCUCCAUUUUAUGGAAGGGGUUGACCCUGUUCGCGACUCCACUUAUUCAGGUUGGUUGCCCAUAGAGGUGUCGAGCCAUGAAAUUCCGAUCGAGGAUUAGGAUUUUGGAUUGGAGUCACUAAGGGUAGGUUAUUGUCCUUGAGAUCUGGGUCUGAGUCUUCUUGCAUUUCUUCUUCUGGAUCAUUCUCUACCCAUCCCUCACUGUCUUGGUUCGGGUAGUAGGGAUCCCCUUGUAGAUGGAAUCCGGCCAUUGUGUCUGUACGGGAAUAGGGAUAUAAGAAUUGUCUAGGACUAAGGCACAUAAGGUUGAACAUCAAAGUUAAACUAUUGUAUGCAUAAGAUACUCCUAUAGUAUUCUAGAUGUUAUGUUUGAUUCUAAGGUUUAUAUGUUUGGUAAGUUUUAGACUUGUUGUCCACUAUAGCUAUCCCCUGGCAUAUGCUGGUCGGCUCUCAUAAAAAUAGAGUUGAUCGGGCUAUAUCCAUCCCAGUCCCAAUUCCAUAUUACAAGGCAUACUUGUAUUGCACAACUAAUCCAUAAUACUUCUAUAUUGUUCUCAUUAUGAUACUGACCCUGUUAUAUAAUGUAUGCAUGUAUACUUUAUAAAGUUUCAUUUUAAAAGUAUAAAUCUCACUCAGAGUGUUUUUGCCCAGUUGUGUUUAUAAUUGUAUAUCAAAAAUGGUUUUGAUAUACUUAGUUCACUAUAAACAAUGCUCUGAUACCAAUCUGUCACACCCCAAAACCUGAACGGCGGAAACGUUCGGGGGCGGAGGACGUCAUGUACAGUAUCAUAACAAUUGAAUAGUAAAGAUAGUACACACCACCAUCAUAUAAAUAUAUUUGAAAAGUUUACAUGAUUGUAUGUGUUACAAGUUUGAAUAUCAAAUACUAUAUGGUGAUCCAAAAUAUGUUACUAACGCCUGCGUGUUAUUCUUCAAAAGUAGUUGCUACCUGGUUUAGCGUUUUCCUGAGAAUACAAGUUAUUUCAAAGAAAAAGUGUCGACAAUAAAGUUGGUGAGUUCAUAGGUAGUGUUUUGAGAAAAUGUAUGCCGUUCGAAAGUUCGUGUAUGUUUUCCAGAAAGUCCGAUAUUUUCUUAUGAGUGUAUGAAAUGAGUAUGAAUGAUUGUUGUAUAAGGUGUAUGUAUUUGAACCAGGAAAAUCCUAUAUUUUCCUAAAAGUGAAAUGCAGUCUCAAAUGACCAAGACCGUAACCUCUAAG
rnacentral:lncRNA from 1 species